UUGGUGAAGUAUUAAAAAAUUCAAAAUUUAAUACAUCCAUAACAUGCUACGUUAUUAAAGAAGGAGUUCUCAGGGCUACCAGCCUUACAGUAGAGGUUGAGGAGUAGUAUAUUUUUCCUACAUAA
rnacentral:snoRNA from 1 species